UACGGAGGGGGCGAGCGUUAUUCGGAAUUAUUGGGCGUAAAGGGCGCGUAGGCGGCUUGUUAAGUCAAAGGUGAAAUCCCUCGGCUCAACUGAGGAAUUGCCUUUGAAACUAGCGAGCUUGAGGCCGGGAGGGGGUAGCGGAAUUCCCAGUGUAGCGGUGAAAUGCGUAGAUACUGGGAGGAACACCAGUGGCGAAGGCGGCCCACUGGUCCGGUACUGACGCUGAGGUGCGAAAGCGUGGGGAGCAAACCGG
rnacentral:rRNA from 1 species